GUAGGAAGAAUUAUAACAAGGAUGAGGAAGAAUAAGCUACCUGGGAACUGUCUAUACAGUUUAAGAAUGUUCUCUGCUCUUUGCCCGAUUUCUGGCUCGUUUUCCCACCAUCUCUGUAAGGAAGAGUGGGGAAGAAGUUUUAAGAAGGAUAUUAGCUCAGUUCUGUUCAGUCCUCAAAGGAGAAAGUCAGUGAAACUCAUUGUGAGGGCAAAGGUGGGGACUAAGGGAUUUAUGACCCAUAUUAGUUCAGGUUCUCCCGAGAAACAGAUCCAACAGGAUGUAUCUCUCUCUCACUGUCUCUGUGUUUCUCUCUGUCUCUGUCCGUCUGUCUGUCCACCUACCUCUCUAGAUUUACUUUAAGGACUUGGGUCAUGAGAUUGUGGAGGUUGGAAAGUCCAAAACCUGCUGUCAGGCUGGAGACCCAGGGAAGACUCGAUGUUACAUCUCAAGUCUGAAGCCAGUCUGGAAGCAGAAUUCCCUCUUCCUCAGAGGGGCAUUCUUGGUGCUGCUGCUGUUGUCAUUGGGACUUGCAGCCCAGAACCUUAGAGCCUCUGUCUCUGAAGCCUCUGCCCCUCCAGGCUGUGAUCCCUGGUGCCCUCGGAACUCCGUAUGUGUCAGUGCCACCACCUGUCGCUGCCAUCCAGGAUUCAGCUCCUGGUCUGGGGAGAUCAUCACCAACCCCGCAGACAGUUAUGAUGACAUCAAUGAGUGUGGCCCACCCUUGGCCGUGUCCUGUGGAAAAUUCGCGGAUUGCCAGAAUGUGGACGGGAGCUACUACUGCACAUGUGCCCCCGGAUAUGGACUCGUUUCUGGGGCAACAACGUUCAGAAAUGAGAGUGAGAACACGUGUCAAGAUGUGGAUGAAUGUCAGCAGAAACCCAGAAUCUGUAAAGGCCGCAGCGUCUGCAUCAACA
rnacentral:lncRNA from 1 species